CACCUGAGAGAAAAGAAAAAAUAUAGAGCAUCUCAUUCUCCUCAAAAAGCUUCAAAGUGCAAGCAAGGUAUGGAUCCCCUAAAAAGAGCAAAAGUAGAAUUAAACUUUCACCAUUGUUAUCAGCAUCAUCACCAUACACCAUUCACUCGCCACACAUGCACAUCUUGAUUUGACUUAUCGACUUGUUUCUCUAGAUCCAUGGUUUGACUAUGCAAUAAAAAUCUUGUAAGUAUGUAUACUUUAUCUCCCACCUAUGAGC
rnacentral:lncRNA from 1 species